AAAAAAUCUCUGGCGCCGCCACUGAUCUCGAGAUUAAAUAUUUUGAAGUGAUGAGUCCUUGUAGUUAUGACCAGGGUUGGUAAUCAGGUACAGACAGUGAGAGGUGGGGUGAAACGGUUCAAAUAAUGACUGGUAAUUCAAGUAAACUACAAAAUAAAGGUGAUAGUCACUCAUUGCACAAAGUGAGAUCCCCCAGCCAUUAUGAAGGCAGGAAAAAGGCAACUGCUUAUUUGGGUCAUACAGAUGAGAUACAGUAUGAUUUUAGAAGAUACAUUUCAUGCUAAUUGUAAAGGUCUCCCUUUGUUCUUAUCGGCUGUGCUGGAGUUAAAAAAAGUGUACCCUGUUGUAUUCUGCAUUUCGCAGAGGAUCUAGUAGAGGGCUGUGUGCCUACAGCAUUCUUGCAUGCUGGCCCUGGUCAACAGCAUGCACAGAUACCACAGAGACACACUGACAUUCCUUCAUCUGCUCUCCCCGGACCCUCGAGACGGAUCUGAAUCAGAGUUGUUGGUCAGCUACAUGAAAGGAUGGAGCAAGAUACAAACUUUAGUUCACAGCAGCUCACUGUUGAAGUCAUCACUGAUACAGUCACAAACUAUUACCUUAUGCGCCAUAGUUUCAUG
ensembl:lncRNA